AUUGUAACAUUGGUUCUCAUCCGAUAACCGAAGUUAAGCAACUGUGUUCUGGGUCAGUAUUUAGAUGGGCGGCCACUUGAGAAUACCAGGUAAUGCCG